rnacentral:rRNA from 1 species
UACGAAGGAUGCGAGCGUUAUCCGGAUUUAUUGGGUUUAAAGGGAGCGUAGGCGGUCUUAUAAGUCAGUGGUGAAAUCUCGUUGCUUAACAACGAACGUGCCAUUGAUACUGUAGGACUUGAGUACAGUUGCCGUUGGCGGAAUGUGUCAUGUAGCGGUGAAAUGCAUAGAUAUGACACAGAACACCGAUUGCGAAGGCAGCUGACGAAACUGUAACUGACGCUGAGGCUCGAAAGCGUGGGUAGCAAACAGG